GGCCUACGGGCGCAGCAGUGGGGAAUAUUGCACAAUGGGGGAAACCCUGAUGCAGCGACGCCGCGUGAGUGAAGAAGUAAUUCGUUACGUAAAGCUCUAUCAGCAGGGAAGAAACACUGACCUUACGGUCAGCAGACGGUACCUGAGUAAGAAGCCCCGGCUAACUACGUGCCAGCAGCCGCGGUAAUACGUAGGGGGCAAGCGUUAUCCGGAUUUACUGGGUGUAAAGGGAGCGUAGACGGAGGAGCAAGUCUGAUGUGAAAAUCCGGGGCCCAACCCCGGAACUGCAUUGGAAACUGUUUAUC
rnacentral:rRNA from 1 species